rnacentral:rRNA from 1 species
UACGAAGGGUGCAAGCGUUACUCGGAAUUACUGGGCGUAAGCGUGCGUAGGUGGUUCGUUAAGUCUGUCGUGAAAGCCCCGGGCUCAACCUGGGAAUGGCGAUGGAUACUGGCGGGCUAGAGUGCGGUAGGAGGAGAUGUGGAAGUUCCCGGUGUGAGCAGUGAAAUGCGUAGAGAUCGGGAGGAACAUCAGUUGCGAAGGCGGCUCUCUGGACCGCACUGACACUGAGGCACGAAAGCGUGGGGAGCAAACAGG